GAUGAACGCUAGCGGCAGGCUUAACACAUGCAAGUCGAGGGGUAGAGGAAGCUUGCUUCCUUGAGACCGGCGCACGGGUGCGUAACGCGUAUACAAUCUACCUUUUACAGAGGGAUAGCCCAGAGAAAUUUGGAUUAAUACCUCAUAGUAUUUUCGGAUCGCAUGAUUUGAUUAUUAAAGUUCCAACGGUAAAAGAUGAGUAUGCGUCCCAUUAGCUAGAUGGUAAGGUAACGGCUUACCAUGGCAAUGAUGGGUAGGGGUCCUGAGAGGGAGAUCCCCCACACUGGUACUGAGACACGGACCAGACUCCUACGGGAGGCAGCAGUGAGGAAUAUUGGACAAUGGGCGCAAGCCUGAUCCAGCCAUGCCGCGUGCAGGAAUAAGGUCCUAUGGGAUUGUAAACUGCUUUUAUACAGGAAGAAACACACCCUCGUGAGGGUACUUGACGGUACUGUAUGAAUAAGGACCGGCUAACUCCGUGCCAGCAGCCGCGGUAAAG
rnacentral:rRNA from 1 species